GCAGUGAUUAACAGCAGUCACGAGCAGAUACACAUUGCUCAAACUAAAGACAUAACAUCUAGAUAUAACAACAUCUGUUUACGACUAAAAGGGAGUGUAAACCGGAAACGGGAAUAAAGAAGAGAUUAGGGGGUUGCUUGUAGGUCAAGGGACUUGGCUCCAGCACGUCGCCUUCGGGACACCUGUGCCCCUGUGAGAACCAGCAUUCCGGGACUCGGGGUCAGCGCUUCGGCCUUCCGUCCUCUCGUGCCCCAACAAUCCCCUUUCAACUAUCUAAGGGCAGUGAGUAUAAGAGGAAGCUCCUGACAAAAGAGGAGGACGAGAGAAGUGACAAGUACAGCCUGCCAGACAGGAAAGGACACCUAAGCACACGUGCUGUCACUUGUGUAUGGAACACGCUGCUGUCGUGUGUGAAGACUGCCUUAGGGGUGGUGAUUGAAGCAAAGGCUACCUCUGUGCAGAGUUUUGUUUGUGUUUUCAUUGUAGUUCACACUGAAAUUUAUUUCUGCUGCUAUUUUUUUUUAGAUAAUGUAGGCAAGUAGUUGGUGAAAAUAUUGAUGUUUAUUCUAGACACUCUUUAUAUGCUAACAAUUUAAUAUUUUAUUUUAUUGACAUUUUAUUUUCCUGGUUAGUAUAAAUUGUUUAAUAUAAGACUCAUAAUAGUAAAAUUUGCCAUCAAUAGAAAUAUUCCUAAAAAACAAACGUGGUAUCACAUACCCACUAUAAUGUGACUUUCCAAAAUUUUACUAUGAAGCCCCUAUUAAACAUCGGCAUCUAUAAAAUUAAGCAUCAUACACACAACAGAAAAGAUAUUUUAAACAUUUAUAGUCAUUGAAAACUACUCUACAUUGUUAUUAUGCCACCU
rnacentral:lncRNA from 1 species